ensembl:misc_RNA Metazoa_SRP Metazoan signal recognition particle RNA
GCUGGGCAUGGUGGCACAUGCCUGUAGUCCCGGUUACUUGGGAGGCUGAGGCAGGAGGAUCUCUUGAGUCCAGAAAUUCUGGACUGUGGUGCACUGUGCCAAUCAGGUGUCCACACUAAGUUCAGCAUCAAUAUGGUGACCUCCUGAGAGCAGCAGACCACCAGAUUGCCCAGUGAGGGAUGAACCGGCCCAGGUCAGAAACAGAGUAGGUUAAACUCGCAUGCUGAACAGUAGUGGGAUUGUGCUUGUGAAUAGCCACUGUACUCUAGCAUGGGCAACACAGUGAGUCCCUGCCUCUU